CGGGUGAGUAACGCGUGGAUAACCUGCCUCACACAGGGGGAUAACAGUUAGAAAUGACUGCUAAUACCGCAUAAGCGCACAGUCUCGCAUGGGACAGUGUGAAAAACUGAGGUGGUGUGAGAUGGAUCCGCGUCUGAUUAGGCAGUUGGCGGGGUAACGGCCCACCAAACCGACGAUCAGUAGCCGGCCUGAGAGGGUGACCGGCCACAUUGGGACUGAGACACGGCCCAAACUCCUACGGAAGGCAGCAG
rnacentral:rRNA from 1 species